rnacentral:rRNA from 1 species
GACGAACGCUGGCGGCGUGCUUAACACAUGCAAGUCGAACGGUAAGGCCCUUCGGGGUACACGAGUGGCGAACGGGUGAGUAACACGUGGGUGAUCUGCCCUGCACUUCGGGAUAAGCCUGGGAAACUGGGUCUAAUACCGGAUAGGACCACUGCCUGCAUGGGUGGUGGUGGAAAGCUUUUGCGGUGUGGGAUGGGCCCGCGGCCUAUAGGCUUGGUGGUGGGGUGAUGGCCUCCCAAGGGGACGACGGGUAGCCGGCCUGGGAGGGUGACCAGCCAGACUGGGACUGGGAUACGGCCCAGAGUCGUACGGGAGGCAGCAGUGGGGAAUAUUGCAGAAGGGGCGCAAGCCUGAUGCAGCGACGCCGCGUGAGGGAUGACGGCCUUCGGGUUGUAAACCGCUUUCAGCACCGACGAAGCGCAAGUGACGGUAGGUGCAGAAGAAGGACCGGCCAACUACGUGCCAGCCGCCGCGGUAA